CCGCCAUUAAACAUCAUAAGAAGAACAAGAAGCUGCUGUGUUUGUACUGUAGAGCCUCAUCUAUCUUUUAAUAAUGCAGUCAGCAGAAGAGGGACACGUCACCCCCAUAGAUCUACAAAAUGAAGGAUUCCAAGAGAAACUAAUAAAAAAGGAGGAGGAAGAAGAUGGAAGUUACUUCUGUGAAGGAUCUUUAAUCCCUGUGGAACACGUCACCUCUGAGGAACACCUCACCCCAGAGGACCAACAGUGUGGAGGUUUCCAGAUGAAGCCUGUGAAGAAGGAAGAACCUGAAGAUAAAGAUGAACUCAAUCUACCAAAAGUAUUGCUGUUAGGUGACAGCUACAUUCGGCAUGGAAAAGAAAGAGCAAGGAGGACCAUAGGAACAAGCCUGGGUGUCUAUGCCGAGGUUGAGUGGCUUGGCUUGGGUGGAUUGAGGUGGCAUUCUGUUGUCCCUCGUUUCAACAACUGGCUUUCAGGAAGAACUCCACCAGAUGUUCUGCUUAUUCACUGCGGUGGGAAUGACUUGGGGAAAAUAAAGUCCUUGCAUCUUGCUGCAGCAAUGAAGCGGGACCUUCAGGAUCUCCAACAGCGUUUUCCAGAAAUGCAAAUUAUAUUAUCAGCCAUCACCCAGCGACGCUGCUGGGGGUCUGUACACCCAAAAAAAAUUGAACGGUCUCGUAAGUGGGUGAACAGUAAAAUUACAAGUUUUGUUUUUGGAACUAAUGGGGGUAUCGUGCAUCACCAUGACAUACAUUUUAAUGACCGUAAGCUGUUCCUUCAGGAUAAGGUUCAUUUGAGUCCUUUGGGCAAUGACAUUUUUUUUAAUAAUAUAUCAGAAUAUCUCAGAGCCUUGUUCCUGUAAAGAAAAACUUUUCUAGCAAGCUAAUGUGAGAUAUUAUGUAAGUUAGAUGUACAAUGUGAAAUGUUUACAUUGGCAGCCAUUAUACAUUUACUGAACCCGAUAUUUUUUAAAUAUUUGAAUGUCCAACCCCUUUUCCCAAAUAUGAUUUAAAUUCUUUUUUUUUUAUCAACAUUUGUACGUAUUUAGUUAUUAAAUAAUAAAAUUGUUGUUGGAAAUAUUA